rnacentral:lncRNA from 1 species
UUUGUUAUGAAGACCCAGUAUCUACUGCUUGGAGAGCUGGGCUUUUUUGGUCCUACUCUCUCAAGAUAAUGAUGCUUGAAGUGGAAUCACAGAAGAGAUGACUUCUGUGGGGGUGGAGGGUGCAAAAUGGAAAAGAUCACCAGCUUGUGGAAGAGACUGGAAGUCUGCUCUGGAUUACACCUGAUCCCCAUAAGAACAAAGGGAAUAGGGCAGGAGGGUAUCUGGGAAGGACACUGUGCUGCUAAGUGGAAAGGACGCAGGGUUCAGGGGCAUGAACCUGUGUGUAAAUCUUAGAUGUCCUUUUUACAGGCUGGGUGACAUUUGUCUCUGUGCUUCAGUCCCCUCAUCUUUAAAGGUGGUUAUACUACUACUGCCUUCCUUGCAGGGUGGAUGGGACAAUAUAUGUGAAAAUGCUUUGUAAAUUGAGCACUGUAUGUUGAGAGGUGGUUGGGAUGAGGGUUUAGGGAAGCUUUUCCAGAGUGAGUGGGUCAUAGAAUUACUGAAGUUCGCAGAUAAGAGCCUCCUACAUUUCCAGCAGGAAAUAGUAAAGCAGCAUUUCCCACCCAGACAUUGUCCUUUCAUUCUGCCAACAUUUUACUGAUAAGGAUUUUAUUUUGAUUUAAGAAGGAAAAGCAGUGUGCUGAGAAAGAGCAUAGGUUGUGGAGUUCUAUGGAUGUUGGUUUCACCAUAGCCAACAUUGAGACUGUCAGAUUACGUAAUGUCUCUGAGCUUUGCUUUCUUAACAGGCCCUUUCAUGUGGCUGUUGGGAAUGGAUGAGACAUUACAAGUGAAACUGAGUGCCUAUUGCCCAAUAAAUACGGGUUUGCUUUCUUUUUCCCUUAGGAAGCAUCUAUUUUAUGCAGCAUAAAAGAGACUCAGUUGUCUGUGCCUCAGUGUGAACAAAUAAUAUCAGAAUUCCCAGAGUUCCUGUCGUGGUGCAGCGGUUAACGAAUCUGACUAGGAACCAUGAGGUUGCAGGUUCGAUCCCUGGCCUUGCUCAGCGAGUUAAGGAUCCGGCGUUGCCGUGGGCUGUGGUGUAGGUUGCAGACGAGGCUUGGAUCCCGCGUUGCUGUGGCUCUGGCGUAGGCCAGUGACUACGGCUCUGAUUCAACCGCUAGCCUGGGAACCUCCACAUGCGUGGGAAGCAGCCCUCGAAAAGG